CGUGGGGUGGGGGUCUUCCUCAGCCUGGAUUGCGAGAGGGCACAGGCCAGGCCGAGGGACCCCACCGGUGCAUG
rnacentral:pre_miRNA from 1 species